rnacentral:lncRNA from 10 species
CCCCAUCCCUGCUCUCCAGCCCCACUGUCCGGGGGGUGACAUCAGACUACGGAGCGGCUGGCUAGACAAUGGAGCAGAGUGUCCUAGCAGGCUGGAGGUGCUGGGGGAGGCGGAGGGUGGAAAAAGCCAAGCUGCCCUGCCCCAGAGGCCCUGGGGGCUGAUCUGGAGACAGGCCCGCUCGGGAAUAGUCCUCUGAAGAGGCAAACUGAGGGUCAGAACAGGAAGGAGAGAGCCAAGUGGGUGCAGGAAGGUGAGGAGUGAGUAUCCAGGGCAGACAGGAGACAGAUGAGGAAACAGAGACUCAGAGAGAUUGCAGAUCCCGGGGCUUUUGUCUGAUCUAUGUCCAAGGAAGCCAGUGGCAUAUGAAAGCACACCAUCCAUCAGACAGAAACUCCAGACAGUUUAAGCAUUCAGAGAACAUCCACUGAGUUGAACUGAACUAGAUCGACAAACCAGUGCAGCCAAGGAGAAGAAAUACGUAUUCUGCUGGUGCCGUGGUGGCCUCAGAGGCAAGCCGACCACCACCCAAAGGCACCCGUUUCAGCAGCUUCCAUUCAGGGCAAGUCAUAUGCUGGGCUGGACUCUGCCGCCAGCUUGCUAUUGCCCAUGCCCCUAACUCCGAGUGGCCUCUGCUCACAGCAAUCGAGGAGGCUGUGGGAAAGGUGUGAAGGUCAGGCAGUUGUUGGCCUGGGCAUCGAAGUGCCAGCGGGUCUGCUCUUCGCCACAGUCCUCACUGUCUGGGGGCUUCAGGCACUCGGCCGCCGGGAAAGCCGUGCCAUUGGGGCUGCUCUCUGAGGUGGCUGCAGCCUGAUGACCCCUGACCACCGACAGCGGGAAAUCAGCCCUCAGGACCCCAGCCACGUUCCGGGCCGUGCAGGUGUAGAUCCCAGCAUCCUGCAGCUGGGCGUUAUAGAUGACCAGCUGGGCAAUGUUGGUGACCACCACGUUGCCACGCACAUGGUUGG